GCCCAGUGAUGAUAAAAUUGUGGCUUCUUUCUCAAAACAUUUACAGUUGCCACCUCUGAGCUUUCGCUUAGCCAUGAUUGAGAGCUAAUGAUGUUAGAUCCUUCCUUUUUGUCUGAAGGC